rnacentral:rRNA from 1 species
GAGGAGCGCUGGCGGCGCGCCUAACACAUGCAAGUCGAACGAGCGAGAGGAGGUUUACUUUCUCAAGCGAGUGGCGAACGGGUGAGUAACGCGUGAGGAACCUGCCUCAAAGAGGGGGACAACAGUUGGAAACGACUGCUAAUACCGCAUAAGCCCACGACCCGGCAUCGGGUAGAGGGAAAAGGAGCAAUCCGCUUUGAGAUGGCCUCGCGUCCGAUUAGCUAGUUGGUGAGGUAAUGGCCCACCAAGGCGACGAUCGGUAGCCGGACUGAGAGGUUGAACGGCCACAUUGGGACUGAGACACGGCCCACACUCCUACGGGAGGCAGCAGUGGGGAAUAUUGCACAAUGGGGGAAACCCUGAUGCAGCGACGCCGCGUGGAGGAAGAAGGUCUUCGGAUUGUAAACUCCUGUUGUUGAGGAAGAUAAUGACGGUACUCAACAAGGAAGUGACGGCUAACUACGUGCCAGCAGCCGCGGUAAAACGUAGGUCACAAGCGUUGUCCGGAAUUACUGGGUGUAAAGGGAGCGCAGGCGGGAAGGCAAGUUGGAAGUGAAAUCCAUGGGCUCAACCCAUGAACUGCUUUCAAAACUGUUUUUCUUGAGUAGUGCAGAGGUAGGCGGAAUUCCCGGUGUAGCGGUGGAAUGCGUAGAUAUCGGGAGGAACACCAGUGGCGAAGGCGGCCUACUGGGCACCAACUGACGCUGAGGCUCGAAAGUGUGGGUAGCAAACAGGAUUACAUACCCUGGUAGUCCACACUGUAAACGAUGA